GUGAGGGCAGGCCUUGUCAGCAAAGCGGCCUUAACGUCUUAGUGAAUUUGACAGACAGGAAGAUGACAUUCACUUAGUGACAGUAUGUGUGACGGAUUUAAAUGGCUGCGAAGAAAAUGAAACCCACAUUCUGAUAACUUAAGCCACAAAACAUUUGUUGCACGCUGAUAAGAAUAAAUGGACAUGGAUGUGCCACCCAAAGGUUCUCCUGUUCUAGGAUCAUCUGCAAAGAGGAAACAUCCGUUUCAUGUGUUUCUUGCUUACCCAGCCCACUUCUCAUUUCAGGCUCAGCCCAGUGGACAGUUCCACGGAAGCACAGACUUGCAUUGUGUUGCCGGCAUAAGCUCAAGCUACUUCCAGCUCAAGCUCAACUUUCUGCCCCACAACCAUCUCCAAUAUUGUAGGAGUUUGCCUGCACACAAAUGCAGACGAGAAAUAUCUCUGAGUUAACCAUCUCAGAGGAACCCUCAACUAAUACAGGACAGGAGGAGCAGGUGGGCAAGUGCUCAAACCUCCCAUUGCUUCAGGUAGAUAAAUCUGGACAGGUUUCCCUGAGCCUCUUUUGAGACCCUCAUAGAAACAAGCCCACUGCUCAGAGAAGCCACCUCAACA